UGGCGGCAGGCCUAACACAUGCAAGUCGAGCGGAUGAAGGGAGCUUGCUCCCUGAUUCAGCGGCGGACGGGUGAGUAAUGCCUAGGAAUCUGCCUGGUAGUGGGGGACAACGUCUCGAAAGGGACGCUAAUACCGCAUACGUCCUACGGGAGAAAGCAGGGGACCUUCGGGCCUUGCGCUAUCAGAUGAGCCUAGGUCGGAUUAGCUAGUUGGUGAGGUAAUGGCUCACCAAGGCGACGAUCCGUAACUGGUCUGAGAGGAUGAUCAGUCACACUGGAACUGAGACACGGUCCAGACUCCUACGGGAGGCAGCAGUGGGGAAUAUUGGACAAUGGGCGAAAGCCUGAUCCAGCCAUGCCGCGUGUGUGAAGAAGGUCUUCGGAUUGUAAAGCACUUUAAGUUGGGAGGAAGGGCAUUAACCUAAUACGUUGGUGUUUUGACGUUACCGACAGAAUAAGCACCGGCUAACUCUGUGCCAGCAGCCGCGGUAAUACAGAGGGUGCAAGCGUUAAUCGGAUUACUGGGCGUAAGCGCGCGUAGUGGUUUGUA
rnacentral:rRNA from 1 species